rnacentral:rRNA from 1 species
CCUACGGGUUGCAGCAGUGGGGAAUAUUGGACAAUGGGCGAAAGCCUGAUCCAGCAAUGCCGCGUGUGUGAAGAAGGUCUUCGGAUUGUAAAGCACUUUCGACGGGGACGAUGAUGACGGUAACCGGAGAAGAAGCCCCAGCUAACUUCGUGCCAGCAGCCGCGGUAAUACGAAGGGGGCUAGCGUUGUUCGGAAUUACUGGGCGUAAAGCGCGCGUAGGCGGUUUAUGCAGUCAGAUGUGAAAUCCCCGGGCUUAACCUGGGAACUGCAUUUGAGACGCAUAGACUAGAGGUCGAGAGAGGGUUGUGGAAUUCCCAGUGUAGAGGUGAAAUUCGUAGAUAUUGGGAAGAACACCGGUGGCGAAGGCGGCAACCUGGCUCGAUACUGACGCUGAGGCGCGAAAGCGUGGGGAGCAAACAGGAUUAGAUACCCCCGUAG